rnacentral:rRNA from 1 species
UUAAGCGACUAAGCGUACACGGUGGAUGCCCUGGCAGUCAGAGGCGAUGAAGGACGUGCUAAUCUGCGAUAAGCGUCGGUAAGGUGAUAUGAACCGUUAUAACCGGCGAUUUCCGAAUGGGGAAACCCAGUGUGUUUCGACACACUAUCAUUAACUGAAUCCAUAGGUUAAUGAGGCGAACCGGGGGAACUGAAACAUCUAAGUACCCCGAGGAAAAGAAAUCAACCGAGAUUCCCCCAGUAGCGGCGAGCGAACGGGGAGGAGCCCAGAGCCUGAAUCAGUGUGUGUGUUAGUGGAAGCGUCUGGAAAGGCGCGCGAUACAGGGUGACAGCCCCGUACACAAAAAUGCACAUAUUGUGAGCUCGAUGAGUAGGGCGGGACACGUGGUAUCCUGUCUGAAUAUGGGGGGACCAUCCUCCAAGGCUAAAUACUCCUGACUGACCGAUAGUGAACCAGUACCGUGAGGGAAAGGCGAAAAGAACCCCGGCGAGGGGAGUGAAAAAGAACCUGAAACCGUGUACGUACAAGCAGUGGGAGCACGCUUAGGCGUGUGACUGCGUACCUUUUGUAUAAUGGGUCAGCGACUUAUAUUCUGUAGCAAGGUUAACCGAAUAGGGGAGCCGAAGGGAAACCGAGUCUUAACUGGGCGUUAAGUUGCAGGGUAUAGACCCGAAACCCGGUGAUCUAGCCAUGGGCAGGUUGAAGGUUGGGUAACACUAACUGGAGGACCGAACCGACUAAUGUUGAAAAAUUAGCGGAUGACUUGUGGCUGGGGGUGAAAGGCCAAUCAAACCGGGAGAUAGCUGGUUCUCCCCGAAAGCUAUUUAGGUAGCGCCUCGUGAAUUCAUCUCCGGGGGUAGAGCACUGUUUCGGCAAGGGGGUCAUCCCGACUUACCAACCCGAUGCAAACUGCGAAUACCGGAGAAUGUUAUCACGGGAGACACACGGCGGGUGCUAACGUCCGUCGUGAAGAGGGAAACAACCCAGACCGCCAGCUAAGGUCCCAAAGUCAUGGUUAAGUGGGAAACGAUGUGGGAAGGCCCAGACAGCCAGGAUGUUGGCUUAGAAGCAGCCAUCAUUUAAAGAAAGCGUAAUAGCUCACUGGUCGAGUCGGCCUGCGCGGAAGAUGUAACGGGGCUAAACCAUGCACCGAAGCUGCGGCAGCGACGCUUAUGCGUUGUUGGGUAGGGGAGCGUUCUGUAAGCCUGUGAAGGUGGGCUGUGAGGCAUGCUGGAGGUAUCAGAAGUGCGAAUGCUGACAUAAGUAACGAUAAAGCGGGUGAAAAGCCCGCUCGCCGGAAGACCAAGGGUUCCUGUCCAACGUUAAUCGGGGCAGGGUGAGUCGACCCCUAAGGCGAGGCCGAAAGGCGUAGUCGAUGGGAAACAGGUUAAUAUUCCUGUACUUGGUGUUACUGCGAAGGGGGGACGGAGAAGGCUAUGUUGGCCGGGCGACGGUUGUCCCGGUUUAAGCGUGUAGGCUGGUUUUCCAGGCAAAUCCGGAAAAUCAAGGCUGAGGCGUGAUGACGAGGCACUACGGUGCUGAAGCAACAAAUGCCCUGCUUCCAGGAAAAGCCUCUAAGCAUCAGGUAACAUCAAAUCGUACCCCAAACCGACACAGGUGGUCAGGUAGAGAAUACCAAGGCGCUUGAGAGAACUCGGGUGAAGGAACUAGGCAAAAUGGUGCCGUAACUUCGGGAGAAGGCACGCUGAUAUGUAGGUGAAGCGACUUGCUCGUGGAGCUGAAAUCAGUCGAAGAUACCAGCUGGCUGCAACUGUUUAUUAAAAACACAGCACUGUGCAAACACGAAAGUGGACGUAUACGGUGUGACGCCUGCCCGGUGCCGGAAGGUUAAUUGAUGGGGUUAGCGGUAACGCGAAGCUCUUGAUCGAAGCCCCGGUAAACGGCGGCCGUAACUAUAACGGUCCUAAGGUAGCGAAAUUCCUUGUCGGGUAAGUUCCGACCUGCACGAAUGGCGUAAUGAUGGCCAGGCUGUCUCCACCCGAGACUCAGUGAAAUUGAACUCGCUGUGAAGAUGCAGUGUACCCGCGGCAAGACGGAAAGACCCCGUGAACCUUUACUAUAGCUUGACACUGAACAUUGAGCCUUGAUGUGUAGGAUAGGUGGGAGGCUUAGAAGUGUGGACGCCAGUCUGCAUGGAGCCGACCUUGAAAUACCACCCUUUAAUGUUUGAUGUUCUAACGUUGACCCCUAAUCGGGGUUGCGGACAGUGUCUGGUGGGUAGUUUGACUGGGGCGGUCUCCUCCUAAAGAGUAACGGAGGAGCACGAAGGUUGGCUAAUCCUGGUCGGACAUCAGGAGGUUAGUGCAAUGGCAUAAGCCAGCUUGACUGCGAGCGUGACGGCGCGAGCAGGUGCGAAAGCAGGUCAUAGUGAUCCGGUGGUUCUGAAUGGAAGGGCCAUCGCUCAACGGAUAAAAGGUACUCCGGGGAUAACAGGCUGAUACCGCCCAAGAGUUCAUAUCGACGGCGGUGUUUGGCACCUCGAUGUCGGCUCAUCACAUCCUGGGGCUGAAGUAGGUCCCAAGGGUAUGGCUGUUCGCCAUUUAAAGUGGUACGCGAGCUGGGUUUAGAACGUCGUGAGACAGUUCGGUCCCUAUCUGCCGUGGGCGCUGGAGAACUGAGGGGGGCUGCUCCUAGUACGAGAGGACCGGAGUGGACGCAUCACUGGUGUUCGGGUUGUCAUGCCAAUGGCACUGCCCGGUAGCUAAAUGCGGAAGAGAUAAGUGCUGAAAGCAUCUAAGCACGAAACUUGCCCCGAGAUGAGUUCUCCCUGACUCCUUGAGAGUCCUGAAGGAACGUUGAAGACGACGACGUUGAUAGGCCGGGUGUGUAAGCGCAGCGAUGCGUUGAGCUAACCGGUACUAAUGAACCGUGAGGCUUAACCUU